UUGGAGGGCAAGUCUGGUGCCAGCAGCCGCGGUAAUUCCAGCUCCAAUAGCGUAUAUUAAAGUUGUUGCAGUUAAAAAGCUCGUAGUUGAAUUUCGGGAUCAAAUUGUCGGUCGUGCCUCGGUACGCACUGGUAUUAUUGGUUCCUACCUUCUGAAGAACCGCGAUGUCAUUAAUUUUGUGUCGUGGGGAAUCAGGACUGUUACUUUGAAAAAAUUAGAGUGUUUAAAGCAGGCUUACGCUUGAAUACAUUAGCAUGGAAUAAUGAAAUAGGACGUUUGAUUCUAUUUUGUUGGUUUCUAGGAUUGACGUAAUGAUUAAUAGGGAUAGUUGGGGGCAUUAGUAUUCAAUUGUCAGAGGUGAAAUUCUUGGAUUUAUUGAAGACUAACUACUGCGAAAGCAUUUGCCAAGGAUGUUUUCAUUAAUCAAGAACGAAAGUUAGGGGAUCGAAGACGAUCAGAUACCGUCGUAGUCUUAACCAUAAACUAUGCCGACUAGGGAUUGGAUGAUGUUAAUUUUUUAAUGACUCAUUCGGCGCCUUACGGGAAACCAAAGUGUUUGGGUUC
rnacentral:rRNA from 1 species